UACGUAGGUCCCAAGCGUUAUCCGGAAUUACUGGGUGUAAAGCGUCUGUAGGCGGACUUGUAAGUUUUGUAUUAAUGACCAGGGCUCAACCCUGUGUUUGUACAAAAAACUGCAAGCCUAGAAUUAGGGAGAGGUAAACGGAAUGGUAAGAGUAGAGGUGCAAUUCGUAGAUACUUACCAGAACACCAAAAGCGAAGGCAGUUUACUGGAACUAUAUUGACGCUGAGAGACGAAAGCGUGGGGAGCGAACAGG
rnacentral:rRNA from 1 species